rnacentral:tRNA from 5 species
GGGGCGGUAGCUCAAUUGGUUAGAGCUCCGGACUGUCUAUCCGGAGGUUGCGAGUUCGAAUCUCGUCCGCCUCG